UCCACAGUACCACACGGCACCACCGUAGUAUGAUUCGUUACCCCAACCACAGUACUAUCAGGCACCGCCACUGUACAAUCUGAAGCCCCCACCGUAUCAACAAGGACCACCACAGGGCCCCCUAGUCUACCAUCAGCCUGGCCCAGUCCCUUUUCCACGGGACCCAGUUCAUUCCAUGAUUGACCCGGCCUAUAUAAAGAGGUACAAGAGAUUAAACCCAUCCACUUUUGCAGGGGAGUCUUCUUUUGAAGAUGCUAAGUACUAGUUGGCAAAGACAGAGAAGGCCUUUAAAACCUUAGGGGUGACUUCUGAGCAAAAGGUCACCCUUGCAACCUACAUGCUAGUGGGAGAAGCAGAUCGCUGGUGGGAACUCAAGUAGACCACCAGAAGCAGACUGCUGG
rnacentral:lncRNA from 1 species